GAUGAACGCUGGCGGCGUGCCUAAUACAUGCAAGUCGAGCGAACAGACGAGGAGCUUGCUCCUUCGACGUUAGCGGCGGACGGGUGAGUAACACGUAGGUAACCUACCUAUAAGACUGGGAUAACUUCGGGAAACCGGAGCUAAUACCGGAUAAUAUUUCGAACCGCAUGGUUCGAUAGUGAAAGAUGGCUUUGCUAUCACUUAUAGAUGGACCUGCGCCGUAUUAGCUAGUUGGUAAGGUAACGGCUUACCAAGGCAACGAUACGUAGCCGACCUGAGAGGGUGAUCGGCCACACUGGAACUGAGACACGGUCCAGACUCCUACGGGAGGCAGCAGUAGGGAAUCUGCCGCAAUGGGCGAAAGCCUGACGGAGCAACGCCGUGUGAGUGAUGAAGGUCUUCGGAUCGUAAAACUCUGUUAUUAGGGAAGAACAAACGUGUAAGUAACUGUGCACGUCUUGACGGUACCUAAUCAGAAAGCCACGGCUAACUACGUG
rnacentral:rRNA from 1 species